UACGUAGGGGGCAAGCGUUGUCCGGAAUCAUUGGGCGUAAAGAGCGCGUAGGCGGCCCUGUAAGUCCGCUGUGAAAGUCAAGGGCUCAACCCUUGAAUGCCGGUGGAUACUGCAGGGCUAGAGUCCGGAAGAGGCGAGUGGAAUUCCUGGUGUAGCGGUGAAAUGCGUAGAUAUCUGGAGGAACACCGGUGGCGAAGGCGGCAUCCUGGACCAACACUGACGCUGAGUGAGCGAAAGCCAGGGGAGCAAACGGG
rnacentral:rRNA from 1 species